UCUGGGACAAGCCCUGGAAACGGGGUCUAAUACCGGAUACCACUCCUGCCUGCAUGGGCGGGGGUUGAAAGCUCCGGCGGUGAAGGAUGAGCCCGCGGCCUAUCAGCUUGUUGGUGGGGUAAUGGCCCACCAAGGCGACGACGGGUAGCCGGCCUGAGAGGGCGACCGGCCACACUGGGACUGAGACACGGCCCAGACUCCUACGGGAGGCAGCAGUGGGGAAUAUUGCACAAUGGGCGAAAGCCUGAUGCAGCGACGCCGCGUGAGGGAUGACGGCCUUCGGGUUGUAAACCUCUUUCAGCAGGGAAGAAGCGAAAGUGACGGUACCUGCAGAAGAAGCGCCGGCUAACUACGUGCCAGCAGCCGCGGUAAUACGUAGGGCGCAAGCGUUGUCCGGAAUUAUUGGGCGUAAAGAGCUCGUAGGCGGCUUGUCACGUCGGAUGUGAAAGCCCGAGGCUUAACCUCGGGUCUGCAUUCGAUACGGGCUAGCUAGAGUGUGGUAGGGGAGAUCGGAAUUCCUGGUGUAGCGGUGAAAUGCGCAGAUAUCAGGAGGAACACCGGUGGCGAAGGCGGAUCUCUGGGCCAUUACUGACGCUGAGGAGCGAAAGCGUGGGGAGCGAACAGGAUUAGAUACCCUGGUAGUCCACGCCGUAAACGUUGGGAACUAGG
rnacentral:rRNA from 1 species